rnacentral:rRNA from 1 species
GACGAACGCUGGCGGCGUGCCUAAUACAUGCAAGUAGAACGCUGAAGAGAGGAGCUUGCUCUUCUUGGAUGAGUUGCGAACGGGUGAGUAACGCGUAGGUAACCUGCCUUGUAGCGGGGGAUAACUAUUGGAAACGAUAGCUAAUACCGCAUAACAAUAGGUGACACAUGUCAUUUAUUUGAAAGGGGCAAUUGCUCCACUACAAGAUGGACCUGCGUUGUAUUAGCUAGUAGGUGAGGUAACGGCUCACCUAGGCGACGAUACAUAGCCGACCUGAGAGGGUGAUCGGCCACACUGGGACUGAGACACGGCCCAGACUCCUACGGGAGGCAGCAGUAGGGAAUCUUCGGCAAUGGGGGCAACCCUGACCGAGCAACGCCGCGUGAGUGAAGAAGGUUUCCGGAUCGUAAAGCUCUGUUGUAAGUCAAGAACGAGUGUGAGAGUGGAAAGUUCACACUGUGACGGUAGCUUACCAGAAAGAGACGGCCAACUACGUG